AACGAACGCUGGCGGCGCGCCUAACACAUGCAAGUCGGGCGAGAACCUAGGCUUCGGCCUAGGGGACAGCGGCGAACGGGUGAGUAACACGUGAGUAAUCUGCCCUCGACAUCGGGAUAGCCCGGGGAAACCCGGAUUAAUACCGAAUAGCCCAUCCGCCUUUCGGGGCGGCUGGAAAAGGUAGCUUUGGCCUCCGGUCGAGGAGGAGCUCGCGGCGGAUUAGCUUGUUGGUGAGGUAAUGGCCCACCAAGGCGACGAUCCGUAGCUGGUCUGAGAGGACGAUCAGCCACACUGGGACUGAGACACGGCCCAGACUCCUACGGGAGGCAGCAGUGGGGAAUCUUGCGCAAUGGGCGAAAGCCUGACGCAGCGACGCCGCGUGCGGGAAGAAGGCCUUCGGGUUGUAAACCGCUUUCAGGAGGGACGAAGCCACUCAGGUUAAUAGCCGAGAGGGUGACGGUACCUCCAGAAGAAGCCCCGGCUAACUACGUGC
rnacentral:rRNA from 1 species